rnacentral:tRNA from 1 species
GCAUUGGUGGUUCAGUGGUAGAAUUCUAGCUUGCCAUGUUGGAGGCCUGAGUUCGAUUCCCAGCCAAUGCA